UGCAGGGCAGGCAUGUUUGCUUGACAGACGUGAAUGUGCCCACAGUCAGUGUGCUUUAUUGCAGGCAUAAAUAUAUCCAAGGAACAAGGGACACAUAGAUCCAGCUCUAAUGUGAAAAAUUAUUACUGAAACAACCUGAGUGGCAAAUGAUAGAUAUUAAUUGUCCACUACUAAGUAACGCUCGGAUAUGUGUCCCUUGUUCCUUGGAUAUAUUGGUCAAAGAGCAUUUGUUCAAUAAUUUAAAUCCCUCGGUGUUUUAGGGAAUUGCUGGUUAAAUUAUUUAUGGUUAUUUCUACAUCAUUCACUUGGCCUUACAAAGCACCUGAAGUGUUGAUCUGACUAAGUUGUUCCCUCUGGUGUUGUAGCAAUGUAAUAUAUGUAUGUCGGUCCAUAUUGAUGCUACUUUCUGAAGAUAAUUGGCAGUUACACACAUUGAUGGCCCCAUCACCAAGUGCAUUUACUUUUUAGGCUUCCAGUUCCCUGGUUUGUGAUUAGUGCCUUAUGAGCAGCACAGUUAUUUUUUUGUAAUCAUUUGUAAAAAUCCUGAACACAAUCAAAGCAUUAACAAGAACUAGAUGUGGUACAAGUGUGAAAUCAUGCACAGCUUCCAUGGAUCACAACAAGACAGGAUAAUCGGAUGCCUGUUCAAUGUGUGAAACUGUCUGCCACUGCUUAAAUUGUUUGAUUUAUUUAUUUAAGUAAGAGAAAUGUCCCUGUGCUUUCAACAGGCUUCUGCCUCCACUUAUCCAAAUGUCUUCCUCCUGCAGAAGACUCCUUGGCUGCUAAGCUCUUCAGCCUCUGCCUUGCUGAAUCUGGGUUUGUCCCAAAGUUGCCUAGAGGUACAGAAUGGCUGGGGCUGGGGCAGGGUGUGCGGAAAAACCAAGGCUGAGGGGGACAUCCCAGGCCCAGCAGAUGCCCUCCAGAUGGUCCUGAGGCCGGAUGCAGGAGGUGAACCUGCUGGGAGAGAGGAAGCAGGGAGCCCUGAAGCAUGA
rnacentral:lncRNA from 1 species